CCAGCUUUCUACAUUACAAGCAAUAUCUCAAUUGUCAUAUUGUCUUUCAUGGAUGCUGUAUUAAUUUAUUCUUUUAUCUAGUUUUAGAGACUAUUUAUUUUUCUGUGUCCUCACCAACAUGAAGGAUCAUCAGAUGUUUUACAUUUGUUGUGAUUCCUUUCAAACCAAAUAAAGUGCCUCCCGAGAGACUCUGGGGAAUUCCUACACCUGCAUGCUCUGCUCAACUGCUACGGUUUCCCAGUGGUUCCCUUUGGCAUCUCACAUUGCUUUGAGCUGAAGACUUCUCUCAUGGCCUCCUCUAGCACCCCCAGGGAUCACUGAGCAAGGCUAUGGUAUAAUAAGCCCGAGUGAAAGUUGUAGGCUCACGUGAGUCUGUUCAGUGUGGAAAAUGGAAGCUGCUGGCUGCAAUGCAUGUGAACAUCACACACUGCCUCUCAAGUUGGCUCUGGUGGCCACUCUUCAUGUUUCCAAGGUCAGCUCACAGCAGAGCCAAGCCUCUCUUCCUUCCUUGCUCUUCUCCUUACUGAAUCUCCACACCAUGGCCCCAGGUCUGCCUUUUAAGCAGACAGGGGACACCCAGGACCUCUCAGCACAACAACUGUAUAUCUCUAUCCACAGAAGAAACAGUAGAUGAGGAUGCAUUAGCUGGAAAGUAUGAUAGAGAUGUAAAAGGCAGAGAAAAAGCAGGAAGAGUGAACAACAGAGAAGGAAUGUGGAAGGGGCGUUGGUUGAUGGCACUGAUCCCUCUUUCUCUUGGAUGCAUGCUAAGAUCAGCUGUUCUGCAGAGCUCGUGACGUGGACCUUGAGCUGCAGAGUUCUGCAGAAAGCAGGGCACCAGUUCAUGGUCUUGGGACAGCUGAUGGUUUCGAUAGCCUCCAGUGAUAAAGACUCAAGAAUGCAUGAGAGACUUUGUCCUGCCACAAGCUGGAGCACAUCGAGGUUCUGUAGACACUGGACAACCAUGGUAUAAGCUCAAACCAACAGCCAUCAUCUGUGUGACCAAAGGGAAUGUUUACUUUGUUCAGCUGCCCUCGUAUUCCUUUUGUGGCUGAAUUUGAUAUAUUAUCCAUGUUGGGUAUGAAUAUAAUUAUUAUUGCUUCUAUUAAUGAUAAGAAUAAAAUACAGGAUUACUUUUACUUUACACAACUAUACCACGAGAUAGAUGUUAUCAUCUUCAUUUUACAGCUGAAGAGCAUACAGGAAAUGUAUAGAGCCAGGCA
rnacentral:lncRNA from 1 species